CUCUUGCCUCAUCCUCCCGAGCAGCUGGGAUUUGGGGCACCUGCCACCAUACUUGGCUAAUUUUUGUAUUUUUAGUAGAGAUGGGGUUUCAUCAUGUUGGCCAGGCUAGUCUUGAACUCCUGACUUCAGGUGAUCCACCUGCCUUGGCCUCCCAAAGUGCUGGAAUUACAGGCGUGAGCCACCGCGCCCGGCUGAAGUAGGUUCUUAAGAGGGCUUGCUGAACUGAAGGGAAUUCAGAGAGCUUGAACUUCCUUCUCCAAACCUUUGCUAGUAGCACCAGGUGGCGGUCCUUGGUGCUCACUGUAGGUCACAGCCGAGUCCCUCUGGCAGACUAUGGAGUGGAGUGGAGUGGAUGCCUCCAAGGAGUCCUUCCCCUGUUGGGGUGGUGGUGAGGGCAGUGUUGCAGACUGACCGACCUCCUCCAUACUUUGUUUCUUUGCCAAGGGGUAACCAUUUCCAUUAAAAUCUACCACAUGCUUUCAGUGUAUCAAAUAUAUAUUUGGUUUUGUGCUGUGCAUGUCUUCAAAAAUGGAGAGGAGAUCCAUGCUGAACAAACUCUGAACCAAUCAUACGGAUUUGCAUUCACGUGAUGUGCAGCAAAUAGAGUUCUAAGGAGUUCAGGCUGAUUUACUGUAGCCCUAGAGAAUAGACACAUUCCAGAAAUAUCCCCUCUCCGCUAGCCUCCUCCCAGCUCUCUGAAUUGCCUUAGCAUCUAUUCACAACACAGCGGGUGGUGUGGCAGGCUGAUUUCCCUGAGGGCUGGGUGGGCAAGAGCAGGUGUUGGCCUGCACCCGGACAGAGGGUGAAGCCCUCCUGGGCCCCUCCUCUUCCCCCAUCCCUGUCCCUGAACCGGUGUCCGGGGGACGCCCAUCCCUUUGUUUAGGCAAGGCCUUUUUGGGUCUUAUAUUCUGGAUUUUUGGGGACAAGGUCUCACUCCGUCGCCCAGGCUGGAGCACAGUGGCACAAUCUCAGCUUACUGCAUCUUCCACCUCCCAGAUUCAAGCGAUUCUCCUGCGUCAGCCCCUCGAGUAGCUGGAGUUACAGGCAUGGGCCACCACAACCAGGUAACUUUUGUAUUUUUAGUAGAGACGGGGUUUCUCCAUGUUGGCCAGGCUGGUCUUGAACUCCUGACUCAAGUGAUCUGCAUUACAGACAUGAGCCACCACUCCCUGCCCAGCCCAACCAUCCUUGAGACAUGAAAAUAACUGUGAAGGCCAUUCCAUCUGCUCCUUGUUUAUUGCCUGAAUAUUUACAUCACUGCAUUGGAAACUCCACUGAUUCAAGAAUUAACGUACAGAAAAAGAUUCUGUCUCUUUGUUCUGUGGCUGUGGUUUUCCUGCCCAGCCCACUACCACUGGGCCGUAGAUGAGAUGGAUAUCUUGUCCAGCCCGCUGCCACUGGACCAUUUCUGCAGGGCCCAUCUAUCACCCCAUCUUGCAGUGUGGAGCCUCGAGUUCUCCAAAUGUCCAGAUCGCAGCUGUCACUGAGCAGUUGCAUCUGUUACACAGUAAAGGAGUCCUAGAGAAGUGCUGCCAAGGGGAACUCAUAAAAAAGCCGCUGCUGGAGACUCAGAUGUGCCCUGCUGAGCGAGGCAGUCUCCUCCUACUUACCGUGCUGCAGUGAGCCGCAGUCACCCGCGGGGGAGUUGAAGAAUAAGUUGAAUAUGGUUGAACACGGUGGCAUCAUACUGCUCAGCCAUCUCUGGGGUUAACUGCAGAUGAGAUAAUUCCUGUAUAACUCCUGGAUCCUCUAGGGCAUUCUGCCACUGUAUCCACACUUCAUGGUACAAGGGCGAAUGGACAGAUCUCCAGCUUCCAAGUGAAACGUGAAGGCGACUCGACAAGGAUUUCUGUUAGGACAAUAGUUUUGCUUCAUGAAGACCAGGAAGGCUUGAACUCAGGACAAUGGGUAUCUUGAAUUUACUCAGUUCCCAUCUCUUAAGUUAUUAAACAUUAUUUCCCACCUGUCUUGUGUAUUUUUGCUUGAUCCCUAUAAUAUGGGGGCAGGCAUAAUUUUGUAUAACCCCUGUAAGACGUGUGCCAGGUACAAUUGGCCCUAUUUCCUAUGUGGGGAAACUGAGACUCAGAGCAGAGAAGCGACUCUCCUAAGUCACACGUUGUAUUGCUGGCAGAGUCUCGGGCAGGAGUCGUGCCUCCUGAUUUCCAGGUACAUGCUGCUUUUGCUAGAACCAAUCUAUUAAAGAACCAAGACUCUUUUAUUUGGAAUUAAUGAGGGAUUCCAAAAAUAGUGUUAGCAGUGCUUAACAAAUUUGAAAGAGCAAAGGAACUGAAGCCAGAGAAGACUGAGAUAGGGGAGCUGUUUCAUUGUAUCAAUUUCUAUUCACUUUGUUAAUAAUUGAUGCCACAUUUACUCAUUGUUAUAUAUUAAAAAUACUUGAUUUGCUACAAGGUAAAAAUGACCCAUUGACUUUGUCUCUCAACCUACGCUAACCCUAAAUGAGAAUCUCAUUGUGACCACGAUUUUGCAAAAUUGAUUAAAUGGAAAUAAAUGCAUUCAAGUGUCAAAGGCUGCAUUGGGAAUGGUUGCUAAUGAGCUUGACCUUUCAGAGCUUCCUGGCUGGGUGCACAGUAGGUGUUCAAUGAGUACUGAUGGAUGUCUUGACUGACUGAGAUUUCGGUUAGCCUUCCAUCCCCGGGAGCAUGGUGCCUCUAAUGUGUUAGAUGGCAUCAUGUUCCAAAAAUGAAUCGAUCUAUAAAUUUGAAGACUAAUUUGGAAACAUUUUAACCUUACUAAACAGAAUAGUAUGAUAAAACCUAGGUACCCUACGCCAGCUUCAAAUCAAUAUUCUGCUGUUUUUGUUUACUUCCCUUAACACACAUCACUGCCUCCCCACCCCCAACACACACACACUUUUUUGUUUUUGAGACAGAGUCUCGCUCUGUCACCGAGGCUGGGGUGUAGUGGCGCCAUCUCGGCUCACUGCAAGCUCCGCCUCCUGGGUUCAUGCCAUUCUCCUGUCUCGGCCUCCCAGUCUCCAGAGUAGCUGGGACUUCAGGUGUCCACUUUUUUUUUUUUUUUUUGGCUGAAGUACCAUAAAGGAAAUUUCAAACAUUGUGUCAUUCACCUGUGAAUAAAUCUGUAUGUACCUCCAAUAGAUAGACUAAAAAAACCACAACCUUAUCACCACAACACAAUUAGCCAUUGUUUCUUAAUAUCAUAGGAGGCCUCUUCCAUGCUGAAUGCUCCAU
rnacentral:lncRNA from 10 species